UACGAAGGGGGCUAGCGUUGCUCGGAAUUACUGGGCGUAAAGGGCGCGUAGGCGGCACUGUUAGUCAGGCGUGAAAGUCCUGGGCUCAACCUGGGGAACUGCGCUUGAUACGGCAGAGCUAGAGGAUGGAAGAGGGUCGCGGAAUUCCCAGUGUAGAGGUGAAGUUCGUAGAUAUUGGGAAGAACACCGGUGGCGAAGGCGGCAUCCUGGACCGGCAUUGACGCUGAGGCGCGAAAGCCAGGGGAGCAAAGCGGG
rnacentral:rRNA from 1 species